rnacentral:rRNA from 1 species
GCCUACGGGAGGCAGCAGUGAGGAAUAUUGGUCGAUGGGCGAGAGCCUGAACCAGCCAAGUCGCGUGAGGGAAGACGGUCCUAUGGAUUGUAAACCUCUUUUGUCGGGGAGCAAAAAGGCCCCGUGAGGCCACAAGCGAGAGUACCCGAAGAAAAAGCAUCGGCUAACUCCGUGCCAGCAGCCGCGGUAAUACGGAGGAUCCAAGCGUUAUCCGGAUUUAUUGGGUUUAAAGGGUGCGUAGGCGGUUUUAUAAGUUAGAGGUGAAAAUUCGGGGCUCAACUCCGGACGUGCCUCUAAUACUGUAU